rnacentral:rRNA from 1 species
GACGAACGCUGGCGGCGUGCCUAAUACAUGCAAGUUGAGCGCUGAAGGUUGGUACUUGUACCAACUGGAUGAGCAGCGAACGGGUGAGUAACGCGUGGGGAAUCUGCCUUUGAGCGGGGGACAACAUUUGGAAACGAAUGCUAAUACCGCAUAAAAACUUUAAACACAAGUUUUAAGGUUGAAAGAUGCAAUUGCAUCACUCAAAGAUGAUCCCGCGUUGUAUUAGCUAGUUGGUGAGGUAAAGGCUCACCAAGGCGAUGAUACAUAGCCGACCUGAGAGGGUGAUCGGCCACAUUGGGACGGAGACACGGCACAAACGCCUACGGGAGGCAGCAGUAGGGAAUCUGCGGGCAUGGACGAAAGUCUGAGCGAGAAACGCCGAGUGAGGGAAGAAGGUUUUCGGAUCGUAAAACUCGGUUGGUAGAGAAGAACGUUGGUGAGAGUGGAAAGCUCAUCAAGUGACGGUAACUACCCAGAAAGGGACGGCUAACUACGUG